rnacentral:rRNA from 1 species
AGCGGCGGACGGGUGAGUAAUGUAUGGGGAUCUGCCCGAUAGAGGGGGAUAACUACUGGAAACGGUGGCUAAUACCGCAUAAUGUCUACGGACCAAAGCAGGGGCUCUUCGGACCUUGCACUAUCGGAUGAACCCAUAUGGGAUUAGCUAGUAGGUGGGGUAAAGGCUCACCUAGGCGACGAUCUCUAGCUGGUCUGAGAGGAUGAUCAGCCACACUGGGACUGAGACACGGCCCAGACUCCUACGGGAGGCAGCAGUGGGGAAUAUUGCACAAUGGGCGCAAGCCUGAUGCAGCCAUGCCGCGUGUAUGAAGAAGGCCUUAGGGUUGUAAAGUACUUUCAGCGGGGAGGAAGGUGAUAAGGUUAAUACCCUUAUCAAUUGACGUUACCCGCAGAAGAAGCACCGGCUAACUCCGUGCCAGCAGCCGCGGUAAUAC